ensembl:lncRNA
GAAGGCAGAGGCUGCCACAUCCUACUUAUGUCUUUAAAGGACAGGGCAGACGUGAACACCUCCAGCCUGUCCCACCAGAGCCCUGAUGCAGAAGGGAGACCCAAGCCAGCCCAUACAGGCACAGUCAACACAAAGAGAGCCAAGGUGGAAGUUGGUGCAGAGCUCAGCUGGCAGGCAGAGGAGAGCCAGGUUCAAAAGUUUUGAGGGGAUCAUGAGCCACUUGGGAGGCUGAGCAGGAGAGCACUGAACCCUGCAGGUGGAGGAUGGGUCCUACUUCUGAGAUUCCUACAGAACAGGAGACCUUCUCAGGAUCCUGGAGGUGACCUUGGCAGGGAACUCCUACAUCCGGUGCCCGUUUUCCUGUUUGUCAAGUGGGCAGCCGCAGCCUCUCACAGGGCUUGCUGUGGACUAUUGGAU